CCUACGGGCGGCAGCAGUGAGGAAUAUUGGUCAAUGGACGUAAGGCUGAACCAGCCAAGUCGCGUGAAGGAAGAAGGAUCUAUGGUUUGUAAACUUCUUUUAUAGGGGAAUAAAGGUAUCCACGUGUGGCUAUUUGCAUGUACCCUAUGAAUAAGCAUCGGCUAACUCCGUGCCAGCAGCCGCGGUAAUACGGAGGAUGCGAGCGUUAUCCGGAUUUAUUGGGUUUAAAGGGUGCGUAGGUUGUUUUUUAAGUCAGCGGUGAAAGUUUGUGGCUCAACCAUAAAAUUGCCGUUGAAACUGGAAGACUUGAGUGUGUUUGAGGUAGGCGGAAUGCGUGGUGUAGCGGUGAAAUGCAUAGAUAUCACGCAGAACUCCGAUUGCGAAGGCAGCUUACUAAGCCAUGACUGACACUGAAGCACGAAAGCGUGGGGAUCAAACAGGAUUAGAUACCCCGGUAGUC
rnacentral:rRNA from 1 species